GCGGGGGUCGCCAAGCCUGGUCAAAGGCGCAGGAUUCAGGAUCCUGUCCCGGAGGGGUUCGCGGGUUCAAAUCCCGCCCCCCGCA
rnacentral:tRNA from 1 species